CAGUCGCCACGGGAAUACGUAGGUGGCAAGCGUUGUCCGGAAUUAUUGGGCGUAAAGCGCGCGCAGGCGGAUCAGUCAGUCUGUCUUAAAAGUUCGGGGCUUAACCCCGUGAUGGGAUGGAAACUGCUGAUCUAGAGUAUCGGAGAGGAAAGUGGAAUUCCUAGUGUAGCGGUGAAAUGCGUAGAUAUUAGGAAGAACACCAGUGGCGAAGGCGACUUUCUGGACGAAAACUGACGCUGAGGCGCGAAAGCCAAGGGAGCGAACGGGAUUAGAUACCCCAGUAGUCCCUGUCUCUUAUACA
rnacentral:rRNA from 1 species